UGGCACAGUGGUUAAAGCAUUCGGUUGCUAACCAAAAGAUUGGUGGUUUGAACCCACC
rnacentral:tRNA from 1 species